rnacentral:rRNA from 1 species
GUAUAGGGGAGCCGUAGGGAAACCGAGUCUUAACUGGGCGAAUAGUUGCAAGGUAUAGACCCGAAACCCGGUGAUCUAGCCAUGGGCAGGUUGAAGGUUGGGUAACACUAACUGGAGGACCGAACCGACUAAUGUUGAAAAAUUAGCGGAUGACUUGUGGCUGGGGGUGAAAGGCCAAUCAAACCGGGAGAUAGCUGGUUCUCCCCGAAAGCUAUUUAGGUAGCGCCUCGUGAACUCAUCUUCGGGGGUAGAGCACUGUUUCGGCUAGGGGGCCAUCCCGGCUUACCAAACCGAUGCAAACUCCGAAUACCGAAGAAUGUUAUCACGGGAGACACACGGCGGGUGCUAACGUCCGUCGUGAAGAGGGAAACAACCCAGACCGCCAGCUAAGGUCCCAAAGUCAUGGUUAAGUGGGAAACGAUGUGGGAAGGCACAGACAGCCAGGAUGUUGGCUUAGAAGCAGCCAUCAUUUAAAGAAAGCGUAAUAGCUCACUGGUCGAGUCGGCCUGCGCGGAAGAUGUAACGGGGCUAAACCAUGCACCGAAGCUGCGGCAGCGACGCUUAGGCGUUGUUGGGUAGGGGAGCGUUCUGUAAGCCGUUGAAGGUGGCCUGUGAGGGUUGCUGGAGGUAUCAGAAGUGCGAAUGCUGACAUAAGUAACGAUAAAGCGGGUGAAAAGCCCGCUCGCCGGAAGACCAAGGGUUCCUGUCCAACGUUAAUCGGGGCAGGGUGAGUCGACCCCUAAGGCGAGGCUGAAAAGCGUAGUCGAUGGGAAACAGGUUAAUAUUCCUGUACUUGGUGUUACUGCGAAGGGGGGACGGAGAAGGCUAGGCUGGCCGGGCGACGGUUGUCCCGGUUUAAGCGUGUAGGGGGUGUGACCUGGUAAAUCCGGUUGCAUAUCAACCCUGAGGCGUGAUGACGAUGCACUACGGUGCAGAAGUAGUUGAUGCCCUGCUUCCAGGAAAAUCCUCUAAGCUCCAGGUAACAUUAAAUCGUACCCCAAACCGACACAGGUGGUCAGGUAGAGAAUACCAAGGCGCUUGAGAGAACUCGGGUGAAGGAACUAGGCAAAAUGGUGCCGUAACUUCGGGAGAAGGCACGCUGGCAUGUAGGUGAAGUCCCUUGCGGAUGGAGCUGAAGCCAGUCGAAGAUACCAGCUGGCUGCAACUGUUUAAUAAAAACACAGCACUGUGCAAACACGAAAGUGGACGUAUACGGUGUGACGCCUGCCCGGUGCUGGAAGGUUAAUUGAUGGGGUCAGCCGCAAGGCGAAGCUCUUGAUCGAAGCCCCAGUAAACGGCGGCCGUAACUAUAACGGUCCUAAGGUAGCGAAAUUCCUUGUCGGGUAAGUUCCGACCUGCACGAAUGGCGUAAUGAUGGCCAGGCUGUCUCCACCCGAGACUCAGUGAAAUUGAACUCGCUGUGAAGAUGCAGUGUACCCGCGGCAAGACGGAAAGACCCCGUGAACCUUUACUAUAGCUUGACACUGAACAUUGAGCCUUGAUGUGUAGGAUAGGUGGGAGGCUUUGAAGCGUGGACGCCAGUCUGCGUGGAGCCAUCCUUGAAAUACCACCCUUUAAUGUUUGAUGUUCUAACUCUGCCCCAUAAUCUGGGGUGAGGACAGUGUCUGGUGGGUAGUUUGACUGGGGCGGUCUCCUCCCAAAGAGUAACGGAGGAGCACGAAGGUUAGCUAAUCACGGUCGGACAUCGUGAGGUUAGUGCAAAGGCAUAAGCUAGCUUGACUGCGAGAGUGACGGCUCGAGCAGGUACGAAAGUAGGUCUUAGUGAUCCGGUGGUUCUGAAUGGAAGGGCCAUCGCUCAACGGAUAAAAGGUACUCCGGGGAUAACAGGCUGAUACCGCCCAAGAGUUCAUAUCGACGGCGGUGUUUGGCACCUCGAUGUCGGCUCAUCACAUCCUGGGGCUGAAGUAGGUCCCAAGGGUAUGGCUGUUCGCCAUUUAAAGUGGUACGCGAGCUGGGUUUAGAACGUCGUGAGACAGUUCGGUCCCUAUCUGCCGUGGGCGUUGGAAGAUUGAGAGGGGUUGCUCCUAGUACGAGAGGACCGGAGUGAACGCACCACUGGUGUUCGGGUUGUCAUGCCAAUGGCAUUGCCCGGUAGCUAAGUGCGGAAAAGAUAAGCGCUGAAAGCAUCUAAGCGCGAAACUU